CUGGGAGUGAAGGGGUUACCUCAAAGAUAUAAAAGCUGAGCAGGCUAGAGGCUGAGUUGCAGAGGAGUGGAAGGGAGCAACUCGAACACCUCUGCCACCUCCGAGCCUGCAAGCAGCCUCUCUGCCCACCGCCCACCGCCUGCCGACCAGACCAAAGACUCCUGCUCCGGACUUGGACUCCGACACCGCACUUGGCCUUCCAGGGAGCAAGAGAAAAGGUAAAAGAACUUUCUGCGUUUGAAAAGUGACUUUUCCUCUUUGCUAACAACAUUUCCUCCCACAAAGCAGGGGGAGAACUUGGUAAGAGUUCGUUUGGCGGUGUUUCCUGGGAAAUGGCAGCUUGAUGGCCUUUAAAAUGCCCACUUAAGCUCUUUUUCAGCCAAGUGCGAUGGCCAGGACUCGGUAGGAGCACUUGCUGGACACGCAGAGUGCGAGGCAAGGCUUUGGAACUUGUCUGAGGUUGGUAAGUCUUGCAGGUGACUUGGGGAUGUGUUUCUGGGUAGCUGCUUCCUAGGCUAAUGUGCGCGGUGUCAGAUGCGUCCUGCGGAGUCGCCAGGGACGUGGAUCUGGUGAGUGCCUACCUGCCAGGGCGGCUUUUCCCGAGAUCGCUGCAAAUCGGGCAAAGAGCGCACUUGGCGUUCCUUCUAGCUCUUAGAUUGCUCCUCCCGGUCCUGCACCCAUCCCAUUUGCCCAAGCUCUUUGCAACUGCCCAAACUCAACUUUGCUUUUCUCUAGCUCAGCGCGGCCAGGACCGAGUUUCCCGAUAGGUGAGUAUUGCUCCUGGUCUCCCACACGAAGGGGCCGGCGGGCUUUCCCAGAGGGCUCGCUGCACUUAGCCUUUAGAGAAUCUGGGUUGAAAAUUAACCGGUAGCCAGGAGUUACCAUUUAAGUUACUUAAAGAGAAAGGACCUUCUUCCUUCUGCCCGACUCUCUCCUCUCCCUCCCCUGCCCCCACCUUUAGUCCUCCUAAAGUGGGGGGAGUGGAGUUUCUCCAUUCCUCCCCCCUUUGGGUGGGGUUGCUCGCUGAGCUGCCCCGCCCCUCGAUCCCUCAGACUCCCUCCUAGGAAGGGAGUAUCCACAGCACCCUGAUCCCCUCCUCCCCCGGGGAUCGGGGCCAAACCUCUACUUUUCACCCCUCCUGCUGAAAGGCCGGCUCCUUUCCUCCUUAACAGCCAUGCAGUAGUUCUCUGUCUUCUCAGUCCGUGCCCUGGAGCCCCCCCCCUCCCCCUCCCCCCCCCCCCCUUCGCCGGACUCCUUUAGGAGAAAUAGCAGCACGCCAUGGUUUGUAGAGAUACGGUGAUACAAACCAUCGUGGGCUGUUACAUUUUCCUAAAGGGCACGCCGCCUAAAGUUGGACCUCGAGGCUUCAGGGUCCAGGCCAGGCGGCUUUCUGAACUCGUCUUGAGGCGCCCAGCUCGGCUGUGCCCUAGCAGCACGUCAAAACUGGAGUCACAAAGUUCAAUCCUCCAGUAUUGCCUUGCUGCUUGAGUGAGGCAGGAGCCUUGUUCAAUUGCCCCACCCAAGACUCCGCGCCGCCGCCGACUUCGAGGACUUCGAGGAAGCCCGGGCCCCCCGGGGGCCCAAGGGAUCCACGCCCUCUCUCUGUAUAUGCUGUGCCCCCCCAAUAAAUGUUCUCCUCUUUUUUGACA